AGGUGCUGCUUGACCUUGCUAGUUUAAUUUUUGAAGAACAACAAUCAUUAGAAGUAAUUCUGAAGAAAAUAGCUGCCACUAUUAUCUCUUUCAUGCAAGUGCAGAAAUGCACAAUUUUCAUAGUGGAUGAAGAUUGCUCCGAUUCUUUUUCUAGUGUGUUUCACAUGGAGUGUGAGGAAUUAGAAAAAUCAUCUGAUACAAUAACAAGGGAACAUGAUGCAAACAAAAUCAAUUACAUGUAUGCUCAGUAUGUCAAAAAUACUAUGGAACCACUUAAUAUCCCAGAUGUCAGUAAGGAUAAAAGAUUUCCCUGGACAACUGAAAAUACAGGAAAUGUAAACCAGCAGUGCAUUAGAAGUUUGCUUUGUACACCUAUAAAAAAUGGAAAGAAGAAUAAAGUUAUAGGUAAAGCCUUUCCUUUAACCUAUGCUCUAAUUUUUAAAAAUGUAUUCCCAGCUAUACUUCUUUCUUUCAAAUGUAAAGAAUAAAAUGUUUUAAAAAAGAUAAAA
rnacentral:sRNA from 1 species